rnacentral:misc_RNA from 1 species
UACGAAGGCCCCGAGCGUUAUCCGGAAUCAUUGGGUUUAAAGGGUCCGUAGGCGGGUGCGUAAGUCAGUGGUGAAAGUCUGCAGCUUAACUGUAGAACUGCCAUUGAUACUGCACACCUUGAGUAAUUAUGAAGUGGUUAGAAUAUGUAGUGUGGCGGUGAAAUGCAUAGAUAUUACAUAGAAUACCGAUUGCGAAGGCAGAUCACUAAUAAAAUACUGACGCUGAUGGACGAAAACGUAGGUAGCGAACAGG